rnacentral:rRNA from 1 species
CUUCCGUAGGGUGACCUGCGGAAGGAUCAUUAUCGUAGGGCUUCGGCCCUGUCGAGAUAGAACCCUUGCCUUUUUGAGUACCUUUCGUUUCCUCGGCAGGCUCGCCUGCCAAUGGGGACCACAAAAAACACUUUGCAGUACCUGUAACAGUCUGAACAAACAAACAAAAAAUUAAAACUUUCAACAACGGAUCUCUUGGUUCUGGCAUCGAUGAAGAACGCAGCGAAAUGCGAUAAGUAGUGUGAAUUGCAGAAUUCAGUGAAUCAUCGAAUCUUUGAACGCACAUUGCGCCCUUUGGUAUUCCUUAGGGCAUGCCUGUUCGAGCGUCAUUUAAACCUUCAAGCUAAGCUUGGUGUUGGGUGACUGUCCGCCUCACGGCGGACUCGCCUCAAAAUUAUUGGCGGCCGGUACAUUGGCUUCGAGCGCAGCAGAAACGCGAACUCGGGCCCGUCGUAUUGGCUCCCAGAAGCUAUCUUCACAAUUUUGACCUCGGAUCAGGUAGGGAUACCCGCUGAACUUAAGCAUAUCAAUAAGCGGAGGAA